CUAAUAUCACAUAUAUCCUAGGUUUAUUUAUAAUAUGUCUCAUUGCCAUAAAGUGCUUUACGACCUGGACGCUGGCGUGACCAGCUCGUCAAGCCUGGUUACAGCAUCUCUAACGGUUUUUCUAAAUUCGAGUCUCCAAAAAUUUAUUUGACCAACUCUUCAUUUUAUUUAUCAAGUCAAACUCAUUAUUUACGGCCUCUAAAUUCAAAUCUCCAAAAGCCUAGUUACAACCUCUUCAUCCUUCAUCUUUAUUUUGAGUAUAUGUAAAUAGGAUCCACGUGUCAGCCUAUACACCAUUCUUCUUCAUCUUACACGACCUGAGAGCUGAGGAAAUACAGUGCUAGUCCGUGCAAGGGGAUGACACAUCAAAACUCAAAACAAAAAUUGCAGUGGUCAGCACAGCAAGCAACUUCUCGUAUCCGUAGGCGCCAAGCAAUAGUACUGCACCUUAAUCUGUGGAGAUCAGCUGCUUCGACUAUUAUUCAACGCAAUCCACGUGCUGCGCCGCCGAUUAUUUCGGGUCCAUGAUCAUCUCACAUUCUCACGUACCAAUUCCUCCG
rnacentral:lncRNA from 1 species